UACAGCGGUCUCAAGCGUUGUUCGGAUUCAUUGGGCGUAAAGGGUGCGUCGGUGGCGCGCUAAGUCAGGUGUGAAAUCUCGGGGCUUAACUCCGAAACUGCAUUUGAUACUGGCGUGCUUGAGGACUGGAGAGGAGACUGGAAUUCAUGGUGUAGCAGUGAAAUGCGUAGAGAUCAUGAGGAAGACCAGUGGCGAAGGCGGGUCUCUGGACAGUUCCUGACACUGAGGCACGAAGGCCAGGGGAGCAAACGGG
rnacentral:rRNA from 1 species